CCUCACCCACUCAAGGAAGCAGGGGUGGCCAGGUUCCCACAGCCUGAGGGGCUGCCACCUGACGGCUGAUGGAGUGGAGGCCUGAGGAAAAGCAGAUGGCACUGGGGCCCUACCUCCAGGGCAGAAUAACUGAUUUACCCUGACUGGCAGUGAGUGAGGUUGGUGGCUGGUCCACCUGCACCUGGCACACCCUUGCAGAGGUGGCUGGUUGCUCUUUGAGCCAGCUUGGCCUUGCCUGGCAUGCACAGGCCUCAGUGCAACAACUGUGCUGCAAAUGGAGCCACAUAGAGGAAAUGAGCAGCAGGCUCAGGAGCAGGGUGUGCACUGCCUUUGGGGCUCCAGUCCAUGCAUCAGGGCUCCUACAGCACUGUGGGCUUCUUGGGUGCCAAGAGGCAGACCACAGGCCAUCUUGAGAAGGACUCUAUGUUCAAGUGCAGAAAGGGCCCAAUCUGGUGGAUGAACCACACGGCCAGCUUCUGGGUGCAGGCACAGUGCCACAUCUUCCAUCACUUCCUGAUGUGCCACACCAGCACUGAAGAGACAGCCUGGAGACAGGGCAAGAGGAAGGCUAAGAAGGAUGAGAUGGUGAAUUCCAGCUUCUUUCUGACCCUGAGCCCACCCCCAAGGUGGCCCUCAACCUUUAGGAGUGGGAGAACAAGAUUGACGGCUUUGAGUGCUUUACCAAGAAGAUAGACAACAGGGCACUCAGCUCAAUUUCUCAGCCAAUGAGUUGACAUGCAAGCAGAUGAUGGUGAUGGGCUUUAAGAAAGUGCAUCAGAAGGUGGCCAGUUCUUCAUCCUCAGCCAGGUCUUGCAGCUGGAGCAGGCCAUCACUUCACCAGAGAUGCCUUCAACACUGUCGGUGAGUUCUUUGCCAAUCAGCCCAGCCAGGAAUGGGACCCAGUCAUGGACCUGUUAGUGCUGUCUCAGGGACACCAGGCCAACAUCCCGGACAUCAUCCACAUACACAAGGAAGCUCUAACCAAAGUCACGGAGAGUAGGCAACAUGUGGCAGAAGGGAAGACAGAGGUGCAGAGGCUGAUGAUGUCGGAAUCACAGGAACAGGAUUUCUUUGGACACUGUGGCUGAAAUUCACCACUUCCAUCCAAUUCAAGUGAGAAACAUGGACUCACAGAUGCAGCAUUUCUUGCAACAAGAGAUACUAUUUUUUCAAAAAGUCACCCGGGAAUUUAUAGUGUUGAAUGACUAGAUACUUGAUUGUGGACUGUUUCCAGUUCAAGGAUACUUUCUACAGCAGAACAAUAACACUAGCAAAGAGCUAGUGCCAGGUAUUGGUGGUAGUACAAGGAUGGUUUUGUUCUCAAUUGAAACUCAGCUGAAUAUAGAAUUGUGUAGGAAACAGUUAAUAUGGUGAUAGAGUAGAAACAGUAGCAAACAUGACCUAAACCAUGCUAUGAAUUCCUACACUACCAUUGUAACUUUUGGAAGAAUGAUACCACUUACUUUAUUGCUUUUUGAAGUAUGAAUAUUUUAGUGUAUAUGCUGUAGACCCCAAACCCUGUGAAGAGUCUCAAAGAAGCUGGCUGGGUAAAGCCUGCUAUGGAUGUCUUUAUAUUCAAAGAUUGAUGAUGCAAUUUGAAUAUGUGUCCCUACCAAAUCUCAUGUUGAAUUAUAUUUCCUAACGUUGAAGGUGGAUCCUGGUCUAAGGUGAUUGAAUCCUGAAGGCAAAUUUCUCAUGAAUGGUUUAGCACCAUCCCCUUGCUGCUGUCCUCACAAUCAUGAGUGACUUCUCAUGAGACCUGGUCAUUGAAAACUCUAUGUCACCUCCCUACUCCGCAUGUUUUCCUCUUGCCAUGUGAGACAACUCACUCUUUCUUCACCUUGCAGGAAGAUUGGAAGAUUACUGAGGCCUCCUAGAAGCAGAAGCCCUGUGCUUCCUGUCCACCCUGCAGAACCAUGAGCCGAUUAAACCUCUUUUUCAAAAUGAAUCUUACAGAAAAUGGCAAAUGAGGACUGAAGCAUUACUAUAAAGAUACCUGAAAAUGUGGAAACAGCUUUGGAACUAGGUGGAGAUCUGCCCAAAGCCUUGGGAGCCCAGCCCUCACACCCCUGUGCCGUGGAUGUGGGACAAGGAUUCCAAAAGGAUGAUUUUGGAGCUGUAGGAUUGAAUGACGGGCCUGCUGGGUUUUGGACAUUCAUGUAUCCUGCUGUGAUGAAGAUAGGUGAAAAUGUAAAAGCAGGUUCACAAGUGGCUAACAGCCAGAGGUCGGAGAGUUUGGAGGACUUGGAAGAAGACAGGAAGAUGAAGGAAAGUUUGGACCAUUGUAGAGACUUGUUAAAUAGUUGUAAUUAAAAUGCUGACAGAAGGAGGAACAAAGGCCAGGCUUAUGAGGUCUCAGAUGAAAAUGAGGAACUUACUGGGAACAGGAGCCAAAGUUACUUUUGUUUUGCUGUAACAAAGAACAUGGGUGAGGGUGACCUUGCCCUUGAGAUCUGUGAAACUUUAAACUUGAGGUUGAUGAUUCAGGGUGUAUCUGGUGGAAUGAACAUCUAGGCAGCAAAUCUCAAGAUGUGUCCUGUCUGUGUCAAACAGCCUGUGCCCUUAUGUGUGACCAAGGAAAUGACCUCAAGUUGUAACUUAUAUUUAAAUGACAAGCAGAGCUCAAAAGUUUGGAACAUUUGCAGCCUGGCCAAGUGGUCAAAACAAAAGCUGAUUUUCAGAGGGAAAAUUCAUGAUGGCUUCAAAAAUUUGCAUAAAAUGAAGGCCAGUGCUAAUAGCUGAGGCAAUGGGGGAGAAAGCCUUGGAGGCAUUUCAGAGAUGUUUGCAGCAGCCCUUGCUGUCACAGGCCCUGGGACCUAGGAGAAAAGAGUGGUUUCCUGGGCCAGCCCCAUGGCCCUGCUGCUGUGUGCAGCCUCAGGAUACAGCUGCCUGCAUCCCUGCAGCUCCAGCUCCUGCACCAGCCUUGUCUCAAAGAUGCACAGGUACAGCUUGGGACACCACUUCAGAAGGUGCAACCUAUAAGCCUUGGUGGCUUCCACAUAGUGUUAAGCCAGUGGGUGCACAGACCACUAGUUCAGAGGCUUGAGAUCCUCCAUAUAUAUUUUGGAAGAUGUGUGAAAGUGCCUGGGUGUCCAGACAGAAGGCUGCCAAAAAGCCAGAGCCUCAUGGGAAACCUCUACUAGGGCAGUGCAGAAGGAAAAUAUGGGGUUGGAACCCCCACACUGGAGGCCACCAUCAUGCAGACCCCAGAUUCAUAGACCCACCAAGAGCUUUGUACCCUCCAUGGGUAAAAACUACAGGCACUCAACACCAGCACAGCCCAUGAAGGCAGCUGCAUGGGCUGAACACUGCAAAGCCACAGGUGCAGAGCUGCCCAAGGCCUUUGGAGCCCAGCCCUCACACCCUUGUGCCCUGGAUGUGGGACAAGGAUAAAAAAGGGGUGACUUUGGAGCUGUGGGUUUGAAUAACUGGCCUGCUGGGUUUUGGACUUUUCAUGGAGCUUGUAAGUCCUAUUUGUGUUUUGUUCUCUCAGGCAAAAAUAUUCCUUUUGGCUAGGAAUUCUUAAUGCCUGAACAAUCAUUGUACCUUGGAAGUAGUUAACUUGUUUGUAUUUCAGAGGCUCAGGGGCAGAAGAGACUGCCUCAUCUCAGAUGAGACUUUGGGCUUCAGACAUUUGAGUAAAUGCUGGAAUGAGUUAAGACCUUGUGGCACUGUAGGUGUGGCCUGGUGGGAGGUGAUUUAUUCCUGUACUUGAGAGGGGUGGAGUUGGAAGUAAAAAGAAGUGGGCUGCAACAAGGAUGGAUGAAAAUGUAAAAGCAGGUUCAGAAGAGGGUAACAGCCAGAGGUUGGAAAGUUUGGAGGCCUUGGAAGA